rnacentral:rRNA from 1 species
UACGGGGGGGGCAAGCGUUGUUCGGAAUCACUGGGCGUAAAGCGCACGUAGGCGGAUUGCUAAGUCAGGGGUGAAAUCCUGGAGCUCAACUCCAGAACUGCCUUUGAUACUGGCGAUCUCGAGUCCGGGAGAGGUGAGUGGAACUGCGAGUGUAGAGGUGAAAUUCGUAGAUAUUCGCAAGAACACCAGUGGCGAAGGCGGCUCACUGGCCCGGUACUGACGCUGAGGUGCGAAAGCGUGGGGAGCAAACAGG